UUCUUGUACAGUACAAUUUCUUGAACCUUCUGGCUGCAUUUAUUCCUAGUUUUUAGAAUGACAUGUUUAUUUUUUCGCUCGAAAUCUGGCUGUAAAGACGCACAAUGAAGUCACUCCUUUUGAGCCUUUGUCGGAACUGAACGGAAUUACGUGGACAUCUCGCGUGUGCUACACGCGAGCACAUGGAAUACUAAUUAUGUAUGUAGCGGGAAAACAACAGCGAGAGUUUUAUCAAUAUAUUUUUUAUAUUCUGAGUUUUCAGUGAUUUUUAUUGUGAGUUGAGUGACUUUUUCGC